rnacentral:rRNA from 1 species
GACGAACGCUGGCGGCGUGCUUAACACAUGCAAGUCGAGCGAGGCCCCUCCUUCGGGAGGGUGUCCUAGCGGCGAACGGGUGAGUAACACGUGGGCAACCUGCCUUCAGCUCUGGGAUAACUCCGGGAAACCGGGGCUAAUACCGGAUACGACCUCCACGGGCAUCUGCGGAGGUGGAAAGUUUUUCGGCUGAGGAUGGGCCCGCGGCCUAUCAGCUAGUUGGUGGGGUAGUGGCCCACCAAGGCGACGACGGGUAGCCGGCCUGAGAGGGCGACCGGCCACACUGGGACUGAGACACGGCCCAGACUCCUACGGGAGGCAGCAGUGGGGAAUAUUGCGCAAUGGGCGAAAGCCUGACGCAGCGACGCCGCGUGAGGGACGAAGGCCUUCGGGUUGUAAACCUCUUUCAGCAGGGACGAAGCGAAAGUGACGGUACCUGCAGAAGAAGCACCGGCCAACUACGUG